GACGAACGCUGGCGGCGUGCUUAACACAUGCAAGUCGAACGGAAAGGCCCUGCUUUUGUGGGGUGCUCGAGUGGCGAACGGGUGAGUAACGCGUGAGUAACCUGCCCUUGACUUUGGGAAAACUUCAGGAAACUGGGGCUAAUACCGGAUAGGAGCUCCUGCUGCAUGGUGGGGGUUGGAAAGUUUCGGCGGUUGGGGAUGGACUCGCGGCUUAUCAGCUUGUUGGUGGGGUAGUGGCUUACCAAGGCUUUGACGGGUAGCCGGCCUGAGAGGGUGACCGGCCACAUUGGGACUGAGAUACGGCCCAGACUCCUACGGGAGGCAGCAGUGGGGAAUAUUGCACAGUGGGCGGAAGCCUGAUGCAGCAACGCCGCGUGCGGGAUGACAGCCUUCGGGUUGUAAACCGCUUUCGCCUGUGACGAAGCGUGAGUGACGGUAAUGGGUAAAGAAGCACCGGCUAACUACGUG
rnacentral:rRNA from 1 species